CAAUAUCUCACCUCAGCAAAAAAUAUAUAUAUAUAUUUCCUUAUGCAAAGCAUCUUACACAUCUUCCAGCAAAAAACAACAACAAACAAACAAACAAACAAACAAAAAAACCCCCCAAACUUCUAGAAGCCAUGGAUAAAAACAGAGUGAACUUGGAGCUGAUUAGAGUCGGAGCUUUUACCGUAACAAUCCUCAUGGCAGACAGACAGGAAAUAAACAAAAACCUGACCAAUAGUUUGAGGCCAAACUUCAAUCAGUUGUGUCCCGGUUUCUCCCUUUAGCAGAAAAGAAAAAAAAAAAAAAAAGAAAGACCUGCAAAAUAUCAAGCUGUUAUAACACGUGCGCACGGUGCCAUUUAUAGUUAUGAAUAAUAAAUAUAACAGUAUAUACUGUAAUUGCUGUCAUGCAUAUAAAAAUGGUUCAUACUGUAUACGCUCUUGCACAUAUACAAUUUGUUAAAAAUAUGCAUUCCUUCUUUCAGAUCUGAAGCAGGACAGAGACAUUCUAUCAGAGUAAAUCUUUGAAUAUAUCACGGUAAGAAAAGUUCCUACAUUAAUAUUGAAUCUGUGCUUAUGUAUCAUAUGUACAGAAAUCAUGACAAGCUUGAUUAUAUUAUGUACAGGAUAAACACUGCAGCACUGAGCAUGCUUCUGAUGUUUCCGAAAGCCACGGAUUUAAGCGGCUCUCACUGGAAAAAACUAGCCAAAUGUACAUCGACACCCCAAAACUCCCGCAUCUGUUUAAGCACUGAAGGUGUCAGUUUCAGGCUUUCCACUAGAUUCUGGAGCGUGGCCGUGGGGAUCUGUGUUCAUUCAGCUACAAGAACAAUAGUCAGGUCGGGUACUGAUGGAUGAGGAAGCCUGGGGUAUUCAGCGUUCCAGUUCAUCCCAAAGAUACACAUGAUCCUGACCUGCCUGAUCCAUCCUGAUGCCCUACAUCUGGAUGGCGCGCUCAUCAACUGGAGACUGAGGACGACCCCAAGCAGUGCAGCCUGGAGAUUGCUGAGGACGGUACCGCUUGAAGUACCAUGGAAAUGCUUUUGUACAUCAAUUCCACGUGGACGUUCUCGCUGUGGUUGCUGGAACUACGGUUGCUGUUAUGGACUUAGGACUGCAAUUCCCACCUACAAUUCUGCACUCAAGUCUCCUUUAGUGAACAGUGGAUUAGUUCAACAAACAGACUUCAUAUAAAAACCAUAACGAGCUUCAAUAGAGAUAAAUUCACACACUUAAAAUCUGUAUCCUGUGUUUAUAUAUUUCUGUAAAGCUGCUUUGAGACAAUGUCCGUUGUUAAAAGCGCUAUACAAAUAAAAUCGAAUUGAAUUGAAUUAUGAGUGGCUGGGUGACACAUACACACACACACCCUUCCCCCAUGGUCUUGUUUUGCUUGUGCCUGUGACUCCACUCGGCUGCUUAAAUAAAGAUUGACUUAAAGGACGUAUCCCACAUGUCUCCUAAAUGUAGUUGAUCAUCCAAGCCGUGUUUGGUGUCCAAAGCUUGCUCCUUUAGUUUUUCCACUUGAUCUAUGAGGCUAAUUUCACUAACAAGUAAGUCAG
ensembl:lncRNA